UAUUAUCCAUUUUAUAAAACG
rnacentral:piRNA from 1 species